GAUGAACGCUGGCGGCGUGCCUAAUACAUGCAAGUCGAGCGAACGGACGAGAAGCUUGCUUCUCUGAUGUUAGCGGCGGACGGGUGAGUAACACGUGGAUAACCUACCUAUAAGACUGGGAUAACUUCGGGAAACCGGAGCUAAUACCGGAUAAUAUUUUGAACCGCAUGGUUCAAAAGUGAAAGACGGUCUUGCUGUCACUUAUAGAUGGAUCCGCGCUGCAUUAGCUAGUUGGUAAGGUAACGGCUUACCAAGGCAACGAUGCAUAGCCGACCUGAGAGGGUGAUCGGCCACACUGGAACUGAGACACGGUCCAGACUCCUACGGGAGGCAGCAGUAGGGCAUCUUCCGCAAUGGGCGAAAGCCUGACGGAGCAACGCCGCGUGAGUGAUGACGGUCUUCGGAUCGUAAAACUCUGUUAUUAGGGAAGAACAUAUGUGUAAGUAACUGUGCACAUCUUGACGGUACCUAAUCAGAAAGCCACGGCUAACUACGUG
rnacentral:rRNA from 1 species